GACAGAGGGUGCAAACGUUGUUCGGAAUUACUGGGCGUAAAGCGCGUGUAGGCGGCUAAGUAAGUCGGGCGUGAAAUCCCACGGCUCAACCGUGGAAGUGCACUCGAAACUGCGUAGCUAGAGUCCUGGAGAGGAAGGUGGAAUGCUUGGUGUAGAGGUGAAAUUCGUAGAUAUCAAGCGGAACACCGGUGGCGAGGGCGGCCUUCUGGACAGCGACUGACGCUGAGACGCGAAAGCGUGGGGAGCAAACAGG
rnacentral:rRNA from 1 species